rnacentral:rRNA from 1 species
UCGUCUGAUCUCGGAAGUCAAGCAAUCUGGGGCUUGGUUAGUACUUGGAUGAGUGACCGCUUGGGAAUACCAAGUGUGAUAAGCA